rnacentral:rRNA from 1 species
GGAGGGUGCAAGCGUUACUCGGAAUCACUGGGCGUAAAGGACGCGUAGGCGGGUUGUCAAGUCAGAUGUGAAAUCCAAUGGCUCAACCAUUGAACUGCAUUUGAAACUGGCAACCUAGAGUAUGGGAGGGGGAGAUGGAAUUAGUGGUGUAGGGGUAAAAUCCGUAGAUAUCACUAGGAAUACCUAAAGCGAAGGCGAUCUCCUGGAACAUAACUGACGCUAAGGCGUGAAAGCGUGGGGAGCAAACAGGAUUAGAUACCCUGGUAGUCCACGCCCUAAACGAUGAACACUAGUCGUCGGGAUGCUUGUCAUCUCGGUGAUGCACUUAACAGAUUAAGUGUUCCGCC